rnacentral:lncRNA from 1 species
UUGGAAUUAUGCAGAUUGCUUCUUGCUGUGCUAUAAAGAAAAAAAAAAUGGAACUGAACAAAUAUACGCUAAAUGCUUUAAUGCUGUUAAACAAUGCAUUCACUUUUUUACAUUAUUUUAUUAUAAAAUGUUUCGGUGUUACUGCUUUUCCAUCGAUCUGUGUGGUUUAGAUAAUUGGAAAAUAAAUGUUUGUCCCAGUUUUCAAUGUUCUAUCCAGUUGCAUCCGUUGUCAUGGUUACGGGAAGCCAAAGAGUAUGAAUGGAGUCUACAGUGAUGAUUUCGUCAGAAUCUUUGAAUUUUAUUUCCUUAUAUGUGCGGUUCUAUUAAGUACAAGUAAUACUGGCCUUUAUGACCAUCGUCAUAAUAAAGACUCUGAAUCUGACUCAUAGUUGAGAUUCCAAAGCAUUUCCUACAAUACAAAAAUACUAUAAACAUAAAAAUUCAAAAAUAAAUUUAAAAAUUUAUUAAUUUGAUACAAAUUUUUUUUUGUUGAUAUGACU